rnacentral:rRNA from 1 species
GACGAACGCUGGCGGCGUGCUUAACACAUGCAAGUCGAACGGAAAGGCCCUGCUUUUGUGGGGUGCUCGAGUGGCGAACGGGUGAGUAACACGUGAGUAACCUGCCCUUGACUUUGGGAUAACUUCAGGAAACUGGGGCUAAUACCGGAUAGGAGCUCCUGCUGCAUGGUGGGGGUUGGAAAGUUUCGGCCGUUGGGGAUGGACUCGCGGCUUAUCAGCUUGUUGGUGGGGUAGUGGCUUACCAAGGCUUUGACGGGUAGCCGGCCUGAGAGGGUGACCGGCCACAUUGGGACUGAGAUACGGCCCAGACUCCUACGGGAGGCAGCAGUGGGGAAUAUUGCACAAUGGGCGGAAGCCUGAUGCAGCAACGCCGCGUGCGGGAUGACGGCCUUCGGGUUGUAAACCGCUUUCGCCUGUGACGAAGCGUGAGUGACGGUAAUGGGUAAAGAAGCACCGGCUAACUACGUG